rnacentral:lncRNA from 1 species
AUCUAUUAACUAUUAUAUAUCCCCAAUAGCUUUGUCACUUGGCAAGCUAUCCUUCACCCUCACCAACCUGUCUUUUGAACCAAACCGUCUUUCUGAACCAAACCGCUAUUUUUUUUUCUUAACCGAACCAUUCCUCUCCUCUCUCUUAUCUGUCUCUUUUUUGAACCUUCUUUAAACCGAACCGCCCCUUCUUUUUUUGAACCACCUCUAAACUGAACCGGGCUCUCUCCUCUCCAUGUUUUUUGUAUGAUACUUUGAACUGAACCAUGCCUUUGAACCGGACUGCUAUAUUUCCCUCGAACCGAAUAGAACCAUCGCUCUCUCUUCUCCACGUUUUCAUACAGCGUUUCCUCUCCCCUCUCGGCCUACCGUCUCUCUCUUCUCUCUGCUACGCGUUUCCUCUCCCCUCUCAGCCUACUAUCUCUCUCCUCUCUCUGCUAUGCGUUCCCUCUCCUGUCACCAUUCCGCGUUCUCUCUCCUCUCACCGUUUCCUACGAUAUGUCAUUCCCUCUCCCCUCUCCACCACAUGGUCUCUCUCCCCUCUCCACCGCAUACGAUGGAUCCGAUGAGAUGGAUCCGAAUCUCAUCAAAUCUGCCCUCUCCUCUCACUAUUUCGUACGGUACGUCGUUUCCCCUCCCUCUCCACUGCAUCAUCCCUUUUCCCUCUUUACCGUAUA